rnacentral:pre_miRNA from 1 species
CUACUACUCCCUCCAUUCGGAAUUACUUGUCUCGGAAAUGGAUGUAUCUAGAACUAAAAUACGUCUAGAUACAUCCAUUUCCGCGACAAGUAAUUCCGAACGGAGGGAGUAGCUA